CCUACGGGAGGCAGCAGUGAGGAAUAUUGGUCAAUGGCCGGAAGGCUGAACCAGCCAAGCCGCGUGAAGGACGAAGGUGCCAAGCAUUGUAAACUUCUUUUGUCAAGGGACAAAAUCAGGCUCGAGAGCCUGACCGUGGGUACUUUAUGAAUAAGCAUCGGCUAACUCCGUGCCAGCAGCCGCGGUAAUACGGAGGAUGCGAGCGUUAUCCGGAUUUAUUGGGUUUAAAGGGUGCGUAGGGGGGCUGUUAAGUCAGCGGUAAAAGCCCGGGGCUAAACCCCGGCGUGCCGUUGAAACUGGCUGUCUUGAGAUGUCGAGAGGUAGGCGGAAUGCGCAGUGUAGCGGUGAAAUGCUUAGAUAUUGCGCAGAACUCCGAUUGCGAAGGCAGCAUACCGGCGGCGAUCUGAUGCUGAGGCACGAAAGCGUGGGUAUCGAACAGGAUUAGAUACCCUAGUAGUC
rnacentral:rRNA from 1 species